rnacentral:lncRNA from 1 species
AUUACAGGCACCCUUUUCUUGCUCCUUACUUGGUACCACAAUUUUCUUAUAUAAGGUUAGAAUUUAGAGAAUGUUUGACUAAGCCAAGAAAAAAGUAAAAAGACUAGUGAAAAGUAAUUUAAACUUUAAAGUAUAAUCUAUUAAAUCUCAACAUGUUAGGCUUUAUUCUUCGUAGUCUUAGGCAAACAUGUUCUUAAUCAUAUUGAAGAUAAAGAUUUUUUUUUUUUUCCCGUUUUCUGUGUAUGUCCAUUUUUUUAGGACUGUGGACCAUAUGUACACAUUGCAUGCGCAUCGGGAGCAUAUGGGCGAAAAAUCAUUUUAACUUGAUCAGGGCAAUUGCCUAAACGAAUUAGGUUGGAUUUUAAACCUUGUUGAGAUGGCAUGUAUUAGUAUAUUUGGACUACACAACACUUUGCAGGACAAGCAACACAAAUUUAACUUAUUUUUAAACUUUAAUCUUGUAUACUUUGUUCAAAACAGCUUAUUGGAAACGCCAUAUAAGUUUUUGAUAGACCAUCUAGACACAUGUUUUUGUACGAGAUGCAUGGUGAACAAGUUCAUGGUUCUUCUGAGAUGGUACGUAUGCGUACGCAGUGAUAGCUGAGGCUUCAUUUGGUCCAAAUGCCUUAGCAUGUCUUUUCCAAUGGAGAUCAAUGGAUUGGUGUAGCAUUCCUAGUAGUCUUAUAAAAUCCUAAAUUGUGCCUUUAGGGACUUCAGAAGUUUUUCGUCGGAUCAAAUGACUGGAAACGGAUCUUUGUGAAGCAAUCUUAACUUCAUGCACUAUAUAUGUUGUUUUUGUUUUGGAACUUUGUAUUUGACUCUUGAUAUUGCAUUCAUUUUAGAAACACCCUAAGAAACAUCUGCUGACAGAACUAGUAAAAAUCCUCCAUUCUUGUGCCAUCAAUGCAAUUGGUUUAUAUAACUUUCUAUUGAAUAUCAUGAGUUCUCUAUUUAUGGGAAAAUCCUAGUAGAGAACUGGUUGUCUGAUUAAUCAUUCACAGGCAAUUGUCUUUUUUUUGUGGCUGGUUGUCUGGCGAGUGGCUUUACACUCACCCUGCUAUUUGCUGGUGCAUAUAAAAUAGGUCUAAGUAGAUUUUUUCUUUACUCUACUAUCUAUAAUCUAUACAUUGUCAUAGUUAGAUAGAAAUGCAUUAUUUAAUUUUCUUUUGUCUUUGUUUUGAUUAGUGAAUAUUAAACUAUUUAACUGAUUGGAGGAAUAGAAAAAGAAAUACAGAUUAUUUCUAUCAAAACCUUUCUAGCAAGAGCUAUUGAAGGUUGCUGUCUUGAUUAGGGAUGACUAUAUCUUUUUGGUCAUCAUGCAUUCAUACCAUUCAAACUGAAAUGUGACGAUGUUUUUAUUGAGCAACUAUCUUAUGUCUCUAUCAGUUUGAUUUGAACCAUGAAGGAAAAAUCCACGUCUCUAAACUUUCCAUUAUUUGACUGCUUUUGUGGAUGGUUCCUAGUUGAGAAAAUAAAUGCUGCCAAGUGCAAUGAUUUUCUUCUUUUCCUUUGCUUAUAUUUUGCCACAAUCUAGUUAUAUAUUUUGCUUAAUACAAGUUUGUGAAAAUUUGGCUCGAGAGGAAAUAUGGACUUUGUGGUAGCUUUAAUUGUCCACUUAAUUCAUGUGGCAAGUAAAUAAUUUUUAGAAUAAUGCUACUUAUACAUUAUGGAGUUAUAUAAUGGUUUACAUAUAAAUGAGGUGUCAAAAAGAAAGUGAAUAUAUAUAUAUAUUAUUUGGUCGAAGAAAUUUUGACCCAAUUAUAUCUUACCACAUCAAAUGUCUGUAAACCAUUAUAUACAUAUAGUGCGACUGUAAUUUUGAAUCCAUGGACUAAAUUCUUGUUAUGAACCUAUAAAUUCUUGAUAAUACAAGUGUUUUUGUUUACCUUCAUUUGGAUGUAUAGAGUUUUGAAUGCAUCUAUUGAUGAUGAAUCAUGAUUGAUAGGCUUCUAACUCAUUUGGGGUCUAUUCUCUCGUAGAUUUCUCGCAGAGACAGGGCUUGUCUCAGUCGAACACCAAAUGCAGGAGAUUGGCUUAGCGCCUGGAAAUGGAGAGGAUAAAAGCAAGAAGAGCAACUGAAGCAACUCAAUCAAUACAUUAUGCAGUUUCUGAAGUACAAUACAUGGAAGAAACAAUCUCAAGUAAAAAGAAGUAGUUAGGACCGUUUGACAUUGCUUUUGCUUUCGAUUUCUGUAGAAGAGCUUUUGGACCAACUUCCUUUAAAAUUCUUAUAACUAGAAGAAGCAUUUUUAUAAAACUAGUCAAACGAGUUCAAAAGCAGUUUUUGAAUGACAAAAGCUCCUUUCGAUUUUGCAAAAGUCAUGCCAAACGGACCCUUAAUAUAGCUCGUCUCUAUAUUUUUGAAGAUCUGCUCAUUUCUUCGUUGUGUGCUUCAACCUUCCUUUUGUUCCUCCUUCUUCGACUUGUGCUUUUUGCCCUUGAUGUAGCAGAAACAUGAGCAGCAGGGUAGCUGCAACAAGAACUUCAUUUCUUUUUCCGAUAUGACAUUUGUGUUGACACAAUAACUCACUUAUAGAGGGUUUUUGCCCAUUUGUAUUACUGUAUUUUGAUUCAUUUCCUAACCCUUCCAGAUAAAGAUGCUUAGCUUAUCAUGUUCACACUAAAGAUAAGAAGAUG